UUGACCUCAAAUCAGGUAGGACUACCCGCUGAACUUAAGCAUAUCAAU
rnacentral:rRNA from 63 species